GGCGCGGCUGGAAGAACCAGACUGAGAAAGUGCCACAGGGCGGGGGCCGCAUCCGCCCCUCGGCUUCUGGUUACUGACCCGACGGCUUUGUGAGUGAAAGUGAAGAGACACUUCGAGGCAGGAGGUCCUGGAACCAAUCCCCUCUGAUACUGAGAGACAACUAUUACACAAGAGAAAUAUUCUACCAUUCACAAAAUCUCGUUUAAGUGUUGUGAAAUACAAACACCAGGGAAUCAAGAACUUUAGAAAAUUGUGGCUGUGUUCCCAUAUGUGGUACAAAGAACCAGUGAGUCCCAUUUGUUGUGGUUCCUGCAUUCGAUGACUCCAGAUGUGCCACCACCGAGCUAGUCUUAUGACAACCUAGAAGGCAAAUUGGGAUGGCCCUAUAUUUGUCACUGAGAGCAGAAGGGUUGAGAACUUAGAUCCUGACAGGAGGCCCACCUUUAUUGGAGAAAUGGCUCUGCAACUUAGCUCAUGUAAGACUGCUGGGAUUUGAAAUUUAUCCUAUUAUUUGAAGACUGAAAUCAAAAUAUGAAGGUGGAGCAUCAUGUGUGCCUUCUGUCUUGUUCUCUACUAGGGUGUAAACCAUUUAACUAAAAAUAGUCUCCAAUUUGACACCUUCCCAACAUUUCACUAGUAUACUCCAAAUCUCCAUGCAGGGUUACAGACCUAUUUCAGCUGGCUCCAUUUACUCUGAGGCAG
rnacentral:lncRNA from 1 species